rnacentral:rRNA from 1 species
GAAGAAAAUUCAUAGACGAACGGGAGAACCCUUGUUAAGGAACUCGGCAAAAUGACCCCGUAACUUCGGGAGAAGGGGAGCCACCGAGGGGUGGUCGCAGUGAAGAGGUCCAAGCAACUGUUUAGCAAAAACACAGGUCUCUGCGAAAUCGAAAGAUGACGUAUAGGGGCUGACGCCUGCCCAGUGCCGGAAGGUUAAGGGGAGAUGUUAGGAGCAAUCCGAAGCGUUGAACUUAAGCCCCGGUGAACGGCGGCCGUAACUAUAACGGUCCUAAGGUAGCGAAAUUCCUUGUCGGGUAAGUUCCGACCCGCACGAAAGGCGUAAUGAUUUGGACGCUGUCUCAACAGGGGGCCCGGCGAAAUUGUAGUAUACGUGAAGAUGCGUAUUAACCCGCGACUGGACGGAGAGACCCCGUAGAGCUUUACUGUAACUUGAUAUUGAUGCACGACAAGGAAUGCACAGGAUAGGUGGGAGACUUGGAGGCAGGAACAUUGGUUUCUGCGGAGUCGGCGUUGGGAUACCACUCUUUCCUUGUUGGGCAUCUAACGGACGGCCGUGAGCCGGCGUACGGACAGUGUCAGGUGGGCAGUUUGACUGGGGCGGUCGCCUCCUAAAAUGUAACGGAGGCGCCCAAAGGUUCCCUCAGGAUGGUUGGAAAUCAUCCUACGAGUGUAAAGGCAGAAGGGAGCUUGACUGCGAGACCGGCAGGUCGAGCAGAUACGAAAGUAGGGCUUAGUGAUCCGGCGGUAGAGAAUGGAAUUGCCGUCGCUUAACGGAUAAAAGUUACCUCGGGGAUAACAGGCUGAUCUCCCCCAAGAGUUCACAUCGACGGGGAGGUUUGGCACCUCGAUGUCGGCUCGUCACAUCCUGGGGCUGAAGCAGGUCCCAAGGGUUCGGCUGUCCGCCGAUUAAAGUGGCACGCGAGCUGGGUUCAGAACGUCGUGAGACAGUUCGGUCCCUAUCCAUCGUGGGCGUAGGAUAUUUGGGAGGCUUUGUCCCUAGUACGAGAGGACCGGGAUGAACGCACCUACUGUGCACCUGUUGUCGUGCCAACGGCAUAGCAGGGUAGCGAAGUGCGGAUGAGAUAAACGCUGAAAGCAUCUAAGCGUGAAACUCGCCUCAAGAUAAGAUAUCCCAAACGAAAGUUUGUAAGACCCCUGAAAGACGAUCAGGUUGAUAGGUCGGGAGUGUAAGCGCUGUAAGGCGUUAAGCUGACCGAUACUAAUAGGUCGAGGGCUUAUUC